rnacentral:rRNA from 1 species
UACGUAGGGGGCUAGCGUUGUCCGGAUUUAUUGGGCGUAAAGAGCGUGUAGGCGGCCAGGUAGGUCUGCUGUGAAAACUCGAGGCUUAACCUCGAGCUGUCGGCGGAAACCAUCUGGCUAGAGUCCGGAAGAGGAGAAUGGAAUUCCUGGUGUAGCGGUGAAAUGCGCAGAUAUCAGGAAGAACACCCGUGGCGAAAGCGGCUCUCUGGAACGGUACUGACGCUGAGACGCGAAAGCGUGGGGAGCGAACAGG